rnacentral:rRNA from 1 species
CCUACGGGGGCCAGCAGUGGGGAAUAUUGGACAAUGGGGGGAACCCUGAUCCAGCCAUGCCGCGUGUGUGAAGAAGGCCCUCGGGUUGUAAAGCACUUUCAGUGAGGAAGAACGCCUGGUGGUUAAUACCCAUCAGGAAAGACAUCACUCACAGAAGAAGCACCGGCUAACUCCGUGCCAGCAGCCGCGGUAAUACGGAGGGUGCGAGCGUUAAUCGGAAUUACUGGGCGUAAAGCGCGCGUAGGUGGCUUGAUAAGCCGGUUGUGAAAGCCCCGGGCUCAACCUGGGAACGGCAUCCGGAACUGUCAAGCUAGAGUGCAGGAGAGGAAGGUAGAAUUCCCGGUGUAGCGGUGAAAUGCGUAGAGAUCGGGAGGAAUACCAGUGGCGAAGGCGGCCUUCUGGACUGACACUGACACUGAGGUGCGAAAGCGUGGGUAGCAAACAGGAUUAGAUACCCGAGUAGUC